GCGUGGAGCAUGUGGUUAAUUCGACGCAACGCGAAGACUUACCAGGGCUUGACAUCCCCUGACCGCGUAUGAAAGUACGUUUUCACCCUCGGGUGACAGGGAGACAGGUGGUGCAUGGUUGUCGUCAGCUCGUGUCGUGAGAUGUUGGGUUAAGUCCCGCAACGAGCGCAACCCCUACGUUUAGUUGCUAACAGGUGAAGCUGAGCACUCUAGACGAACUGCCGUUGACAAACGGAGGAAGUGGGGAUGACGUCAAAUCAUCAUGCCCCUUAUGUUCUGGGCUACACACGUGCUACAAUGGCCGGUACAGACGGAGGCGAAGCCGCGAGGCGGAGCAAAACCGAAAAAGCCGGUCUCAGUUCGGAUUGCAGGCUGCAAUUCGCCUGCAUGAAGUCGGAAUCGCUAGUAAUCGUAGAUCAGCAUGCUACGGUGAAUACGUUCCCGGGCCUU
rnacentral:rRNA from 1 species